rnacentral:rRNA from 1 species
GUCGAGCGGUAACAGAGAGUAGCUUGCUACUCUGCUGACGAGCGGCGGACGGGUGAGUAAUGCUUGGGAAUGUACCUUAUGGUGGGGGACAACAGUUGGAAACGACUGCUAAUACCGCAUAAUGUCUUCGGACCAAAGCGGGGGACCUUCGGGCCUCGCGCCAUAAGAUCAGCCCAAGUGGGAUUAGCUAGUUGGUGAGGUAAUGGCUCACCAAGGCGACGAUCCCUAGCUGGUUUGAGAGGAUGAUCAGCCACACUGGGACUGAGACACGGCCCAGACUCCUACGGGAGGCAGCAGUGGGGAAUAUUGCACAAUGGGCGCAAGCCUGAUGCAGCCAUGCCGCGUGUGUGAAGAAGGCCUUCGGGUUGUAAAGCACUUUCAGUAAGGAGGAAAGGUUGGAUGUUAAUAGCAUUCAGCUGUGACGUUACUUACAGAAGAAGCACCGGCUAACUCCGUGCCAGCAGCCGCGGUAAUACGGAGGGUGCGAGCGUUAAUCGGAAUUACUGGGCGUAAAGCGUACGCAGGCGGUUUGUUAAGCGAGAUGUGAAAGCCCCGGGCUCAACCUGGGAACUG